rnacentral:misc_RNA from 1 species
AAAGCGUACGCACCCACAGACACUUGCUGGCUCAUAGGCGCUUGCCCUUAACGUUCUCCCCGUCGCGCAGAAAGAGUAGCAGCAGCCGCAAUGAACCAAGACACCAAGCCAAACUUUUACUUUAGCAGCGACUCGGCCGAGGCGCAAGGAGGCGCUGACUUGGUGGCGGAGAGAAACUCGAACUACACGACAACACCAGCUGGGGGAUCGGAUGGGCAGACGAUCCCGGUCAAUACGACGGACCAUGGCGGCUACAAGGGCGUGCACCCCAUUGCGGCCUUCUUCCACGUCUGCUUCAAGUUAGCCGCGAUUCUGGUCUUCUUGCUAGGCGGCGUCUUCGGCCUCAAGUAUGUGUUGAUCCUCGUCAUCACGAUCUUACUCCUCACCGCCGACUUCUGGACGACCAAGAACGUGACGGGCCGCAUCCUCGUAUCCAUGCGGUGGUGGAACGAGGUACAAGAGGAUGGGACGACUCAGUGGGUAUUCGAGAGCAGCCCCGAGGCGGACCAGCGCGUGAACGCGUACGACAACUGGUUCUUCUGGGUCACCACUGGCGCGAACUGUGUGACCUGGGUGGUGCUCCUCUUCCUGAACUUCCUGUCCUUCAAGUACUUGCCUAUCACCCUCGCUGGAGUACUGCUCUCCGGCGCGAACUUCCUUGGCUACUUCAAGUGCCGCCGCGAUGCACAGCAGAAGGUCACAUCCUUCAUGCUUUCCCAGGCAGCGGCGCGGCCACAGGCGGCCGGGCAUGUUGCGUCCUUUUUCAUGGGCGGCGGUGGCGGCACCAACACCAACACCGCCCACGGCGGCGGCAGCGCGAACCGGUAGAGAAACUAUGACGCGUCGGAAGCGGUUGUAGGGGCACAACAGCCGCAGUGGUGGGGGGCCGCUGCAUGAGGGGCGAAAAACGCGCAUCCACCGGACACAUGCGCACCCGCUCACGCGAAGAGAGGAUGAAGGAGAACGGCAGUUUCGUGGAGUGCACCCUUUAUUAUUAUUAUUUGAGCUUCCCUCUCGCGCUCGCUCUCUCUCGCCCUCCCUCGCGCGCGCCUCUCCCAUCUACGUUCUUUCCUUUGCAGCCGACCAUCUCUCUCUCGCUGUGCCGAUCACCCACACACACCAUGGAACACACACACACACACACACACGUACUGUAUGCGUUACCGCCACCACCUCCUCCUCCUCGCUUGUUUUGUUUCUCUCUUCCUCUUCCCCUUUUUCUUUCUGUGCGUGUGUGUGUGUGUGGCGUGAUGCAGUGGCAAUGAGUGCUCGGCUCGCUUUCACAGGUGCUUCCCUUGCUGUUGACCGGUUUGUGGGCACAUCACACCUGUGUGUACGCUGCUUUCUGGGUGGGGUUGACCGAGUCUGAGGCUUAUAUGCCUGGCGGAUGCGUGUGCUUCUCCCUUAAAAAAAAAGUAAUUUUUUUUUCUUCGACUGUCCUCUUGUUGCUGUCGCUGCCAGCGGUGUUCAUGGGGGAGGGGUGGAUGACGCGGAUCGAGUGGACUGAAACGGGAGAGGGGAGGAGAGGAGACACAGAGUCGGGAAGCGAUGAUCGUGUUUCUGAGUGUUGUUACCCUCUGAUUAUAUAUGCUGCUGUGUCGCUGCGUAUCUGAAUUUGCUACUGACUAUGCUCGUGUGUGUAGCGUGUCUCCCACUUCGCUUCUUCGCAACGGCACAUCCGCUUAUCGUUCUUAUUCGGAGCCUCCUCGUCUUGCUGUUUCCGAGGCACUGUUUCUCUGCGUCCUUGCCUUCUGGCCUGUCUGUCUGCCCGCUUGACAAGGAAGAGUACGUGGACAUGGUUGCUCUGCAUGAUUGACCGUUCUAUGCGUGUGCGCCACGAGCCACUCUGUUCAACUUAUCACCCGCAAGAGCACAGAAGAAAGUCUCAUGGUUCGUUUUCUGAGGCUCCGAGACACCGCUUCAUCUCCACCAUCUACGCUCGUUGUGGAUCUCUCGAUUUCUUUGCUCAAUGAACGCGUGAUGCUCCUUCCCCUCCCCCUCCCGCACAGACACACACACACACACACACACACACACACGCCUGCACUCGUUCUCUUUCCCUGCGGAUGCCUUUACG